rnacentral:lncRNA from 1 species
UUUUUUGUGACUCUGCAAUUCUAGAGUUAGGAGGAGAAACCAAGGUUGAUAUGAAAUGACAAAAAUACCCCUAUGUACAGCCUCUGCAUGUAAUCAUUGCAUAGAGCAGCCCAAUAAAAUAAAAUAUGAUCAGAACCACACACACAAAAAAAGGUCAAUGCUGAAUUAAAAAAAUGAAGAAAAGACUCCAUGCCAGCAGCUCAUCCACGACCACUCCGGUGCCAGCUCCAUGCUCCGUGGCGAGCUUCGUGCCCACGGCCACCUCACAGCUGUAGACAUCACCGGUGGGCGUUCAUACAGAGACCAGCCCACCCGACGUGGCUCUCACAGAUGCAGAUCCAGCUUCCGUGGCUUUGAAUCCCAGUGCCGGCCAGCUUCACGACGCGAUUGAAGCUCCUACCACCGCUGCUGCCUAGCUUCACUCCAUGGCUUCAUGCACCACACAGCUAGGUCGGCAGAUCUGCUGCAUUGUGCUGGGCGCAUGGCGCCGCCAGCCAUCCACACGUGGGUGAGGAGUGCUGGAUGGUGAAGGGGCCUAUAGAGAGGAGCUGGACGGGGAGGUGAUCUGGAUCUGUAUAGGGACCCUUGGGCGGAUGGAAGUAGCAGCAGACUCGAACUUUCAAGCAUGAGGGAAGGGAAAGGUGCACUGGUGCAGUCAAUUCUUCUGGAGAAGUUGUUUUUUUUUUAAAAAAAAUAUGGUUGAGUCCCCACACAGGACAGGUUACUAGCUAGUAGCAGCCUAGCACAUUGGGUUCGUAGCUACCUGUACUACCAAUUGUUGUGUUUGUUUUGGGACAUUUUUUGAAUCCUACAAUAGCGCUUCUUUUGGGGGCAGAGGGAGUACUGCACAUGUACUUCAGUCAUUUGGUGAUUUUAGGAAGACUAGUAUCAUGGAACUCUAUUUGAAUCAAUCAUAUGUUGUAUGAACACUCAAACCCUGUAUUGACAUCUCUCUGUACAGUGUAUUGGGAUGCUAGUGGGUACCCAAUGGUUCUAGGCCUAUUUUUUGGUUCUUUCUAUACCACCGUUUUUUUUUUAAAUCUGGAUUGAUUCGAUUAAAUGAGUUUUGAGACAAGCCAUCCUAAUCAACAGUAUAAAUCUGGUAUUUAUCACUUUCCUCCAAUCCUCCUAUUGUACAUUUAUCAGAUUAUUAUGUGUCUAUCAUAAGAAGCUCAAACACUUUGCUAACUUGGAAAUGCACAGACCUUGUGCUCUUAUGUAUUCUGAGUGUGCAGUAACCCAUUAUUAACAUAACAAACUUUUGCCAGGCUGCAAAAAGUGCCGGAGUGCCUGUUAUCAUGGACGCUGGUGGAAUGGAUGCCCCUGUGCCUGGAGAACUACUCAGUCUAGUGGAUAUUUUCAGUCCAAAUGAAACAGAGCUAGCACGUUUGACUGGGAUGCCUACUGAGACGUUUGAACAGAUCAGCCAGGCUGCAGGAGAAUGCCAUAAAAUGGUGAGAUAUCUAAAUUGGAUUUCCUUUAUAACGUUCACAAUAUUUCCUCCCUGUUCUACUUUAUUAGCUUAUAAUUCAACUGACUUCUGCAUUGCUUUGGGUUAACCAUGAUUGUGUGUUUGGAUAUUAUUGUUUGACGCAAUUCCAUCAAUGAUAUUGCAUAGUGAUGUUAUCUGGUAAUAAAUCUACUAUAAGGAACAUGGCCAUCCUUUUGUUAACCUUAUGCAUGUUUUGAUGUACAUGCAGUUGGACUGGUACCAUAUCUCCUUUCUUUUUUAGUUCUUGUUGUAUGCAUGUUUGCAAGGGUGUCAGUUGUAAUCUGGAUGAAUGAAACUGCAAGGUAGGCUGUGAACAUAUAUAGGGAUCCCCUGUGAAUCUGUAUUUAAUAUCUUUAGUUAUUUUCUGGAACUAGUGAACAUGCACGUGCGGCACGCACGUGUAAAUGAAAAUAAUUUUUUAAACAAUUGUAACCAUAUCAUAAAAUAGAAAAUCAAUAUGAAUAAGUGGAUGCCUUCAUACAUUCUACUGUAAAUUCAUGAGUCAUAAUAUCACCUUCACAAAUAAAAGAACAGAAGUUUUCUUAAAGAGUAAGGAACAAGAGAAUGAAGGGGGAGUUUACAGGUGUGGUAGCAUGCAGCCCGUUGAUGUGCCAGAUAACAAAUUCAAUUCUUUUCUUAGAAAAUGGAGGAUCCUAAUGGUUCAGUUUUCUACAAACCUUACAGAAAACUUGCAACAAUGUUUAAAAUAUGUACAUCGCCUGCAGCCUAAUUAAAAAAUAUUGCUGAAAUAAAAUAAUAAGAUUAGGUGGCCCACCUCAAGAUACAUUGCAAAGGUCAUGUGAGAACUCAGAAGCUGCGGCUAGGAUUAAAUACCUUGGAGGCAGUUAGUUACAAAAUGUGCAUAUUGAUUCUAUGGUCCAGUGGUAGCGUUCGGUUGGGAUGUCAACAUCUUCUCUAUGUAAAGCAGUAAGAUCGAUGACACUUCUUGUCACAUGGGAGCUUUGGAAAGAGUGAAAUGCAAGGAUAUUCGAGCACCAAUACAAAUCACCGACAGUGCUGAUUUCAAAGAUCAAGGAGGAGGCUCAACUUUGGUGUAGUGCGGGAGCCAAGCGAUUACGAGAAAUUUUGCCUAUGGUUUAGGCUGUUGCCUCUUUUGCCUUGAGGGCCUAAAUCCCUCAUUUGGGACUUUUGGUUUGUUUGUUUACGGUUUUUUCGCUUGUACUUUGUCUGUUUCCUCUUCUAUAUUAAUAUAUUUUCCUAGCAUUUUCUGCCAGCAUUUUUCGAAAAAAAUAUUCAUUGACAACUGAAUCACAACUGAUUCAAUCUUAUUAUUAACAGUGCCCUUACCAAUCUCAAACUCAAACUCAUUAAAAAAAAUAGAAAAAGGUCCAAAUGUACUACAUAUUGCUGAAUCAUUGCCUCCAGUCUUGCCAUAAAUAGGUAAGCACAUUGCAAAUUCUUGCAGAAAAAUAUCAGUACACUCAGAAAGAUAUAGCCUGCUUGUUUUUAGUUUAGAUCUUAACAAAAUUGCUGAAUCAAAUAAAGACCAUCAAUAUAGAAUUCUGAAUAGCACCAGAUUUUCAUGCUUCAAGUGUUAGCCGCAGAAUACUCCAGUAAAUUCUGAGCAUAUUAGAAAAACACAGUAUUCAGUUGAAUAGAUGAGCAGCUACUAAAUAAAGUACGAUGUAGGCCAGCGACGUGACGCUGCAGGACGACCGGCACGAGGCUGUCCUCGUUGCCCUGCCACAGGUGCACGGGGCUGAAUUGGGAGAGAAAGAAGGAAGCUACCUUUGUCCACGACAUGUGAUGGGGAGGUGAGGAGCAGGUCGGCGGAAGUGAGCACGAGGGAGGCCAUGUCGAGCCAGCGCCCCAUGAGGAUGUGUCCCUACGCCUCGAGGCAGAGACGGGUGACCCCGGGGUGAGUGACCUCGAGCCCGCGUCGGCCUAGGCGAGCUCGGCGGUGAAGCGGACCACAGCCAGCAUCGUCUACUCCUCUGUCGUGUUCGCGAUGCAUCUUGUGUCGUUUCUUUGCUGUGCGUGAGCCAGAGCUGCCGAAGCUGUCGUGGCCGCCGUAGAUGUUGAAGGGAGGAGGGAAUCGGACGCGUGGGGCAGGAGGAUAAAACCCUAAAACCCGAUGUGGUACUAUAUGAUUGAUGGGAGGGACGAUGCGGGUACACGGGCGGGUAUAAAUUUUUUGCGUAAGAAAAAAACAAAGGGUAUCAGCGGAGCUAAGAGAGAAACACGCAUAAACGUUUACAAGUUUUCUGGCGGGUCCGCUUAUCAGACCAUGGUGGAUGAUUUAGAUGUGAUGGAUCUGAUUUUAAUGUAGAUCUAAGGGAUCUAAGGGAUAAGAAUGAAGGUGGGUAGAAAACAUCAGGAUAUAUGGUCAACAGUGUAAUUCAAAGGGAGUCAUUUUAUUGCCGCCUGUACUCUCGGGACCUGGUUUCAAUGACAUUAGUCUUUUCCACUUUAUUAUGCCAUUUGUGGAUGUGGUUAUUCGACCGAAUGCUUUCCUGUUCAUUGUUUUAUUGUGACUUGUUUAAAUCAAUUCUCUUCAUGACUCCAUAGGUGCACCUUUUUUUUUCUCUUUAAGCAUUCCAUCAUGAUCAUAAGUUUUUACAGGGAUUAUGUCCACCUGCAGAACCCGUGAAUGCUUUAGGAAGAUUAAGACGUCCCUUAAUCUUUUCCUUGUGCAGGGUGUGAGAGAAGUACUAGUUAAACUUGGAUCACAAGGAUCUGCUUUGUUUGUUGAGGGAGAGGAGCCAAUCAGGCAGCCGAUAAUUCCUGCCACAGAAGUUAUUGAUACCACGGGGGCUGGUGACACUUUCACCUCAGCAUUUGCUGUAGCUCUGGUUGAGGGGAAGCCUAAGGAGGAGUGCAUGAGAUUUGCUGGUACGAAAUCACGUCCUCUUCAAUAUUUGACGGAUUGGUUUCCUUACAUUUUGAUUUGAUAGCUUGUACUCUCUUGAAUUCCAGCUGCCGCCGCCUCUCUUUGUGUUCGUGUAAAGGGUGCUAUACCCAGCAUGCCUGACAGAAAAUCAGUAAUGAAGCUUCUGGAUUCUGCGAAAGUCGAAUAACCGCAGAAUGCGAUGAUCGUUCAAAGCUGUCCUCAUUCGUCGGCGAUAGGGUGAGCACCUUUGGGUACUCCUUGCCAUCACAUUCUCUGGUCUGGUGUACAUUUGGAAGCUUGCAGUGUGAUGAUAGUAUAUAUAUAUAUAUAUAUAUAUAUAUAUAUAUAUAUAUAUAUAUAUAUAUAUAUAUAUAUAUAUAUAUAUAUAUAUAUAUAUAUAUAUAUAUAUAUAUAUAUAUAUAUAUAUAUAUAUAUAUAUAUAUAUAUAUAGGAAAACAGGAGAAAACAGUACUGCUGCUUUUAAGCCCCUACUUUCUUUAAGAAAUGGAAACACUUAUUAGUCUUUUAUAGUGUUUCCUGUUGAGUCAUACCUGUACUAUUUUGACGGAAUUCCCACGCCCUGAAUCUCUGCUGUUGGCGACCUCAUUAAACCGGGCAAAAUUCUGCGCCCUGUGCAUGGGAUCCUGUCAGUUUCAGUAUCCAUUUGUUGGGGAAACACUGCUCGUGCAGCAGGAGGGUUAGUGAGACGUCGUUUUCCACCUCCAAAUCUAACCAUCCUUUUUUUUUUUCUAUCAUUUAUGAUUGCAGGGUACGCGGAAUUCGUGGGAUCGAUCCAUCAAGUGUCGCUACGCCUUCACGUGCUCCUCCCCCAAAUAAUGCGAUGGUCUCCAUUCCCUCCGAUCUCCUCCAAGGCGGAGGAAACGCAUUUUCCGGUGCCGCCCGGAUGAAAAAUCCCCCCACACACAAAAUAAGAAACGGUCCCUUGUGCGUUUAACUCCCGUCUUUGCAGACAGACACACAUAGUUCUACUACAUACUCCCCCGGUUCCGUGAACACAAUAAACAGUUUCACACUGGGCCGGAGCUAUCGGACGGUAACUCUGAUCUUACCCUGGUGCAAGUCAAUGCGUUAUCUGAACUGAAUCCGUCCGAGGCCAUCGUCGUCCACUCGCUGCUGCUGCUGCCGUUGCCGCAGAAACUAGCCCGUCCCUGUCGAUGCAGUCAUCACCGGGGGCCGUCGUGGAUCACCACCGUUUGCGCGGUCAGGUUCGCGUAAUCUGACUCGUGAAUGGGGGAAAGAAAAAAAAGAAGCCGUCCGACUCCCCCCUGUCGAUGCCCAAGGGAAGGGAGCACAGCGUACGGGCCAAGUCGAUUCGUCGCUCGGCACGUCGUCACCCAGAAUCCCCAGGAUCUGACGCUCCGCUGGUUCCGCCGUGCUCGCCCCUCCGAAACGGCAAGCGUCCGGGUCGCCGGCGAUCGCUCCCUGUUCGGCUGUCGAACCAUUCGAUCGGAUACGGGUUGCCUGGAUUAAAUCGGGGCGACUGUUGUGACGGAGCCAUCGUACGGGCACGCGCAAUUAAAGCCGCCGGACGGACGGGGGUACCGCUGCCCCGCCGCGCCGCUACAGGCCUCGGAUGCCGGGGGCGGCGGCGACCACUUUGAGUCAUUCGCAAGGCUGCCUGAAGCUCCUCUCGUGUAUAUAGUCCAGCCCGAUCGAUCGGCCACGACCGACCGGUGCGCUGAACGGGCAGGCAGGCAGGCAGGCGAUCGGCGACGUCGCUGUCGCGGAUGGCUUGGCAAUCCAGCUUCCUCCCAACACCAUCGGCUUGAUUGAUUUUGUUUAAUUGCCGGGGGUCAUGUCACACCCGAUAUCUAUUUAUGGAACCCCGUGGCCACGACGGAUACGUGUACGCGCGCGACGCUGCUGGUCUGGUGCAUGCAUGGGUCAUGCGCGUGACGGCCGCGCUACUUGACCGUGUAGGCGUGUCGCAAAACGCAUGCAGCUUUCGCUGCAUCUGGCUGCGACCAACUCCUCUGUCUGGCUCUUGGGAGUCUUGGUAUUUGGUCUUGAGGCCGUGGCAGUGCUGUGACACCCGCUGCCUACUGUAGACUGUAUCUGACCACCAAACCGGCCCGCCGGGUCAAGUUUCCAUGCAUGGCAUCUGCCGACGAUGGAUGGCUAAGCAGGCAGGGCAGGCAGGGAGAGGAGGGGGUCAGAAGAGAAGAGAAGAGUUGGGACGUGCACGAGCGGAUUGCUGGUGCCCUUCAGGAGUUAUAGCGGUGGGCUUGACCUCCGUGGCUUGCGUUCAAAGUCAUGGGCCGGCCGAGCCGCUGUUUUGUUGGAGCUGCCUGCUAAUUAAUGGUCGACGCGACGGCAGCAGCCACCGUCGGUGUUAAAGGACGAUCGACCUCAAACUUAUCUUUCCUUUAUUAUUCAUUAUAUUAUUAAUUAAUAAUAGAUGGAAAUAUCGUAAGCUUGCCACGGAUACUACUCCAAACUGAAAGUGCUGUCACUUGUAUUCCCUACAUGAUUCUCAACUGAUAUGCGGGAAUAGUACGGAACAUGUACUGAUGCCCACGUUAACUAGCUAGGCUAGCAUGUGCAGAACAGGAGAGGAAUUGCGAGUCUGUAAGCUGAACUUACUGGCAAGCUAAUUGCCAUGUUACGACACAAAAACUUGCCACAGAUACUAGUUCCAAAAUAAAAAGUGCUGCUACAUACUGUAUGCCCUACAAGGAGGAGUAGUACUGAACAUGUACUGAUGUCCAGGUUAGCUUAGCUAGGCUCGCCUGUGCAGAACACAGGAGCGUAAUUGUGAGUCUGUAAGCUGAACUUACUGGCAAGCUAGUAACAGCCAUUAUCACGACACAAAAACUUGGAAUUUUAGUCCCAACGAGAUAAAUAUCACAUCAUUUACAAAAAAAGAGGGAGAGUGUUCAACAAAAUAUGAUGAGUGCACAUGCAUUGCUUCCUCGCAAAACAAAGAUAUGCGUUGGUUUCAAUAAUUAAUUAAUCGAGAAUAACUCCUUUAUUAUUAUUGUGCCCUUGACGUACACGUACGUAGUAUGAAUAUCUCCGAGUGGACUUUGAACACGGGUCUUCGCCGGAGAGUAUUCUUUUUGUUUGUGUGCCGGAGGAAAAGAGACGCAGACGUACGGGUAGAUGGGCUGGGCAGCAGGCAGCGAGCGAGCGAGGAUGCAAGUUGGUGCACACCUUGCGCUGUGCCUUUUAAUGCUUUUGACCUUCUAGUAGUCCGGUUCCGGUAGCUAUCAGCGCUAUUGGCCAUGUUGCUUGCGUCCCCGGUCUUCCAACCAUGUCGCUCCAUCAUCAUCGUCCAUCUCUUAUCUCCCACGGCCAGCUUUCCCCAUCUAUCACCACCACCGUCACUCCUGUAAUUCCUUCCAACACAGAGGUAAAUGGCUGAUAGACACCACCGCCGAUAGGUAAAUGGCUGAUAGACCGGCCAAAAAAAACGAAUCAUUCAUUCAAAAAUCAUAUUAAAAGUACCAUGACACCGUUCUUCAUCUUGAUCUAUUUCUCUUUAUUCCACAUUUUCCUUUCUUCCCCUUCCUGCGUACACCCUCUAAUUAUUAAUUACCUCCUGUUGUUUGACAUGCAAGGUGCUUUACAUUAAUUAUUGUGAUCUCCCUUAAUAUAUAGUAGUAGCUAGUAUACAGGAUCCAAAAUAAUUGUAUGCAGUCUCUCUCUGUAGUGUGUACAGCAUAUACAUGCACCAUUCAGAUAAACAGGAACAGGAGACAAUUAAGAUAAGUUGCUGUAAUUAAUUGCGCUCUCGGACCGCCAGUACAAAAGGUGUGUACGAACUGGAAGGAAUUGAACGAGCCAAAAGGCAUAAAUAAAGCUACAUGCAGGCAUGCAGCACAAGCUUAAAGCUACUCCACUUGACGAGAAUAUAUAUGUCAAGGUUGAUCUAUGAAUGGUCCAUCAGAUCCCUGAUGAGUGCUGCUACUGGUAAAACAAGGCAGCUAGAGAUGCAUAAGCAUAAUAAUUGUCCUGCUUGACGAGUUCCAGUCUCUCUGAAAGUACAAACGCAUGCACUGUGCGAGGCAUCUAGAGAGCUUUUGCCUCGCACCAAUUAAUGGCAUGGUCACCAAAGUAGAUUUGCUCUCGAUCAGGAGAGGAUGGGCUUUUAAUUAAAGAAAGGUGAAUUCUGUCACAUGCGUGUUUAUGUUACUCUGGUCUCCAUUGACGAAGUACAUUUAUAUCCAGAAGGAAUUAGAUACUCCUAUAAUAAAAUUGGUGAGUUAGAUAUCGCAAUCUCUCUCGCGCGGCUAGAGGGGAGAAGCAAUGGAUCUUGAAUAUUUUGGAAAUUUUGUGCUAAUAAUGCAGUAGUACUAUAUAUGUUUUGCAUUCACACUAUUAGAAAUUUAUCGCAAUUAGAUGGUUAUUAGUUUCUAUCGCAGUACUGUAUUCAUAAAACCUACAACUUCAGGAUUAUGCAUGUCUCUAGGCGUUUCGAUUUUAUGUCGCCGAGAUCGACAUAAAUAGUUUUAUAUGCUUCCCAGCUGGGCAAAUUAAAAUUAAAUAUUUUAAAGCUAUUGUAUUUGUUGUAAGGGAUGACAGGCAGGAAGUCAAUGUUAAGGAAAAAUGGAUAUGCAUGCGUUUUGGGGCAAAAUAGGCCAGCCUGUACGUUUGACCCACUCCAUGUACACCCAAAAUCUAUGCCGUCAUAUUUCAUGCUGAAUGUUUGACCGGUGCAAUUCCCUUAUUAUAUAUAAUAUAAUUCAGAUGCUCGACGAGCCUGCUUUAAUUUACACCAUAUAUAUAUACACACAACUUGUGAGCAUGCAUAAUAAGUGGCACAUCAUGGAACAGUAAGGAAAGUAUAGGGUCCAAAACAAAACCCCAAAUAAACAUCUCUAUAUAGAGGUCUCUCACACUAUUGUAGCCACAAUUCUGGCAAAACACAUUAACCGUGUUUGACACGAUCGGUCGAUCGAUGAUCUCGAUCUGGCGCGCUAGCUUGUUGAAAUGUACGUGCAGCAUGUGCGUCCAAAUCCUUGAUCAAAAUCAAUCAUAUACGCUCCACACACGGCCAUUCUAGUUCUAGGUAGGCAGGUUCACAUCACUAUAUGCAUGAGUAGUACUAGUACUAGCUCUUGGAACGACCUGACCAGGCCACUAUAGCAGUAUGUACGUGCAAGCACGAAAACAAGGAGCAAAAUGACGCCCACUGCUUUUCCAUAACUACUCUUUGUACCAACCACGCACGAACAGUCCCAUCAUGCAUGACAAUAUGUUAUUAGCUAGCAAACACAUGCAUGGUGGAACGAUCGAUCCAUGCAUACAUCAGUACGUGCAUCAUCUUGCUGCCAUCAUAUAUAUAUAUAUCAAGAAGAGAUUAAGGACGACAUAUCAUAUAUCCUGCUUCCUGCAGAAGCGAUUUUGAAGAAGAAAAUUGAAAAUAAAUUCUGUUCCAUGCAUGCAUGGCCCUCUGGUUUGAGCAAUGCAAUGAGGCUGACAAACAUGUGCACAUAUAUAGUAGUGUUGUAUUAAUGGAGAUGGACAGGAGGAGUGCGUGCAAAGAGGAGCUAGCAUAAAAUUAUCAUAGCUCAUGGCCAGUACUGCAGCAGAUAGAGUGCAAUGCAUGAGCUGAGGGGUUGAGUUGAUUAGGUACAUGUACAAGAACACCGCUAGUACUACCUGCAAGGACUAGCUACUAGAUCAUCAUCAUAAGAAACGGUACGAGACCCGGCCGGCGCCAGAAAACUCUGUAGCGGCAUGUGUCUCGCAGCACAGCAGUAUUAGGAAAAAACAAAUCAAGAACCGAUAUGAUCCAUCUAGAGGAGCAAAUCGGUGAAAAAAAAGGAAAAAUUAAAGAGGUUAAGGGCAUUAACAAGAACCAAAUUAAGUACUAUCUCUUUAUCUAAGUAGCUAGCUUCCUUCCUCAUUAGCUUGCUGCUUGUGGCGGUGAUGACCAAUUGAUCGAAUUCAGGGCUGGACGUUGCCGCCAUUGCCGUGGACGAAGGACGGCAGCAUGUCCUGCAGGAGCCCGAAGUCCUGCGCCAUGAAGUGCUGCAUCUGGAGCGAGGGAGGAGACGACGACGAGGUAGUGGUGGCGGCGGCCGUCGCUGCCGUCGCGCCUGCCACGGUGCUCAUCGGACCGCCGCCGCUCAUGCCGCGGGACGACGCGAGGCCUAUCGCCGGCGGCAUGGCGGCGUGGUUGUUGUUGCGCGGGGGCAGGAGCCCCAGCAUGUCGAUGACGCCUCCGCCUCCGCCGCCUGCCCGCCCGAACGGCGCGCCCGCCAUCUGCUGCGGGAGCGGGGCCGGCGGCGGGAAGGCGCCGCCGAGGUGGUGGUGGUGGUGGUGACCGCCGUGCAACUGCGCGGCGAGGAGGUGGGUGCUGCCGCGGAGCGUGGCCGGGAUCGGGUGCGUGUGCUUGCCCUCGUACGUGGUGAUCACCACCGCCGGGUCCUGGUACGACCGCUCCACCCGCUUCUUCACGGGGCACUUCUGCGUCGUGCACCGGUAGUAGCUCCUGCGCGCACGCGCCAUGCAUCACACCACGCGCGGUUGCACCAUUAGCUCAUGCAGACAUGGAUAAGGGAGAGAGGUGCGUGCAGUGCAGUGCGCAGUAGGGUAACUGUAUAUACUACUUGCUGUGCAUGUAUGUAUGUAUGUAUGCGUAGGAAGACUGGUACGUACCUGGGGUAUGGGCUGUUCUUGACGGCCUUCUGGCCGUACUUGCGCCACCGGUAGCCGUCCUCGAGGUGGUCGACCUCGCUCUUGGUCAUGAAGGCGAAGCGCGGCUGCCGCUGCCGCUUCUCGCCCUUGCCCUUGCCCUUCGCCGCCGCCGGUGACCUGCAACAAUUCAAGAGCCGGCGUGGGCAUCGAUCUCAUCAGUUCGUCUUCCCGUACGUCCACCGGACAGCUAGCCGGCCGGGUCAGCGGAAAGUGAUGCAGAUUUCGUUCAAACUAAGAUACGAUACGCGAGGUGCGUGGCCGGCCGCGCGGCUGGGCUGGGAUGGGAUGAUGGGAUCCCGUUCAAACGCGGUGGUUGGCUGGGUGUAGUGCGAAUAAUCAGCUAGACUAGAGUCGUAAGCACAUGGUUUUAACAGGUUCACACACUGCCUGCUGUGGCUGUGCUGUGUGCACACACCCCUUUUCUGCUGUGCCGGCAGAUUUGUACCAAAAUUUGUGCCAUAUGCUGCUAGAUUGCCUGCAUCAGAAAGGGGGCUGUAACAAAUCCCUAUAGAGAGGGGAGGAAUAUCUCUUGGUCUGCAAGGGGGGCUAUAGCUUUUAGGCCGGGCCAUUCUCAUCUCAAGAGAUCUUUGGGUUUUUUUUUUUUUUUUUUGGGGGGGGGGUAUGAUCUUGGUAAAAGGGGGGUGAAGUGGUGAACCAAAAGAGUAAAAGGAACAAAAAGAAAACAUGUAUAGAAUCAGCUGAGGAUGCAAAUCUUGGCCAAAUGGAAGAAGAUGCAUGUUCAUGCUAGCUAGCGCGUAGCUAGCAUGAAAUCCAUAAAGCAAAAGGGGAACGGAAGAGGAGAGGAGGAUGCAACUAGCUAGAAGAUUAGGCUAUACAAUACACCGACCGACUUUUUCCGUGUUUGUUUUCUUGUGACAUGCGAGUGUGAAACCCUAGCCCAAGUUCACACCUUUGCCUUGCCGCUACCUUAUUUAUUUUUUAUUUUUAAAAAAAGAAGAACAAAUGGGGACAAGGAACAAGGAACAGAAGAGGAAUGAAUGACUGAUUGACCAGCAGGGGAAUGGAAGGAAGCAGAAUCCAAGACACAGAAACUGACGCCUGAUCCAGGAUCACCCAAAAGAUCGAGCACUAUCUAGAUAGUCUCAUGAAAACCGAUGAUUAGCGGAAAGAUCUUUCAAGAAGUUGGAAAAAAAAGGAAGCAAAUAACACAGGAUUUUGGUCGAUGUCUAUAAUCUCGAGAAGAAUUCCAGGCCAAGCUCUACUCACCCUUUCUUGCCCUUGUCAGCGUCCUCCUCCCCCUUGUCGAGCGCCUUGCUCUCCUCCCCAUCCCCUUCCUCCUUCUUGCACCUCCCCUGAUGCGGCGAGUCCUCCUCCCCGGCACCACCAAAGCUUCCUCCUCCUCCUCCUCCGGCGGCGCCGCCACCCGCCGCCUCGCUAGACGAGGAGGACAUGGACGACGUCGUGUUGGGCGUGACCGGCGCCGUGCCGCCCCCGCUGGGCGUGGGCGCGGCGAAGCCUAAGCCUCCCCCUCCCCCGCCUGUGUCCACCACCAGCAGCUCCCUCUUGACGACGUCGUCCCCCGGCAGCGGCAGGUCCAGCGCGCGGCACAGCAGGUCGUAGUCCAUCCCGCCCAUCCCUGGGACGCCCGCGCCGUGCAGGUAGUCCGCGAACCACGACGCCGGCGCCUGCUGCUGCUGCUGCUGCUGCUGCGCCAUCAUCAUCUCUCCCGGCGCCGCCGGCCGCUGCGCGAACAGCGACGCCAGCUCGUCGUGGAAGUGGAAGUCUCCCGACGACAUCGGCGCGCCGCUAGCUGCUGGGUGCUGCGACUGUGGUUUGCCUUGGCUUCUUGCCGCUUGGUGUGCUCACUUAUCAAGGGCGAGGGCGAGGGCGAGGGAGGGGAGAGAUCAAGACGGCCUGGGAAGCGAUCGAGAGCGUAUACGGCUAUAUGGUAGUGGGGGCGUAGUGAGGCAAGGGAACGAAAGGGAUGGCCGGGCGUGUUUUUGUGUACGUGGUGCGCGCGCGAAAGAGUGUGUGUAGGAAGAUGAUGCACAUACAGAUAUACUGCUAGAAGAUGGAGAUGGACGAUGGAUGGAUGGUUGGUUGGGUGGGAGGAUUUUUUGUUUUUCUCUCAUUCUCUCUUACCAGCAGCGCUGCUUUUGGGGUUGGCGUUUUAUUUAAUUGAUCCAGCUUUUUGUGACAGAAACUACUAGUAGGACUAAUUGAUUAGACCCAAACGACAUGUCCAUUUCCCGCCCCCUCCCCUGGAGUUAUGCGCUUGUUUCCAUCGCAAGAUACAACAAUUAUCAGUGGGUUAGACUUCACCCUCUUCUCUCUCUCUCCCUCUUUACUAUAGCCUAGAGUGCUAUAGACCAGACCAGCGAGCCGUGCUGGUAGUAAUAAUGCAGGAUUAGCAGGACAAAGCAACAGGAAUGGCGCGGUGGUCGACGGUCACGGGGACGGGGUGCAGCAGGCACGCAGUCGCAGGGUGAUCAGAUCAGUCACUGAGUCAGCGGUGCCCUACCGGUGGCAGCCGGUCACCCCGGGUCAAACCGCCGCGCCGCAGUCAGACGUUCCCACCCGACACGUGGCGGUGGCCUCAUUUUGACUGGGCCUACCCCGCGCGCCGCGUUGGCCCGCUGGCAGCCGGGGCCACCUCACCGCUGACGCCAGCCUGACGCCGCCCCCGGCACCGUCCCGUCCGAUCGCGAGCCGACGGCUGCUGAUGCCGGUGGCGGUCGUGGGAUGCGUGCCCGUGCCUGGAGUCGGGGACGGGCCGGCCGCGGUCGCGGUCGCAUGGCAGGGGCAGGGUCCGGUCCUCCGGCCGGUCAAGGCGUCUGGCCGGCGGGGCCCGCCGCGUUUCCAAUCCGGAGACGACUGUGCGUCGCGCUGCACGUCGCGGGGGCAUCGGGAAAAAGGCCGGAGCCGUUUCUGGAAGGGUUGGGGGGUACUACUGCUACUGCUAGAGCAGCUGAGCAGGAGCAGCAGCGAAUCCAAUCAUCAAAAAGGGGUCGCGGUGACAGGGGACCUAGGCUGUUUGGUCUGCCCCCAAUUCUUUCUGCGACCGAUCGGUUUUAUUACUUCGAGCACGAACAAUCAUGGAAAAGUGCGUGAGACGCAUAUCUGAAUCUGAGGUGCCGGUCCGGUUUUUUUUUCCUUCGUUUGUGUUUUGUUGCGGCCGCACAGCGGCAGCAUUCAAAUGUUUGGGCCUUGUUUAGUUCCAAAAUUUUUUUUAAAACAGGUACUGUAGCACUUUCGUUUGUUUGUGACAAAUAUUGUCCAAUCAUAGACUAACUGGGCUCAAAAGAUUCAUCUCAUCAAUUCCGACCAAACUAUGCAAUUAGUUUUUAUUUUCGUCUAUAUUUAAUAUUUCAUGCAUGUGUCUAAAGAUUCGAUGUGACGGGAAAUCUGAAAAAUUUUGCAAAAUUUUUUGGGAAGUAAACAAGGCCUUGGUGAAAUUGGUGAAUAGUGAAGUACGUAGAUGCUGUACGUGCGGUGCUAUUCUGGGAUAGAAAUUGCCUACCCCAUAAUGCUUUGGGGGCACUCGUUCGCGGAGGUGCUGCUUCCUGCAGGACUCAACUGUUCAGUUUCACCGAGGCUGGUUCGACCGAAUGAACAAACUGUUCAGUUUUACACAGGACCAACAUGUACUGUAUUGGCGAAUGUACGCGCACACAGAGUUACGCAUCAUACCGUAUACUGUACGUCCAUUGGUCCCUUACCAAUAUGAACUUCGGUAUAUGUUAUAUAAUUAAUCCGAGACAAAAGGUCACGUGUUACGGCGAAUCAAUCAGCUCGUGCAACGAUCGCCUCAUCAGCGGUGACGGGGAGCACGAGCGCGCACUGCCACCGGCAACUGACCCCACCCCAAAAAAAACGCAGGCGGCCGUACGUAGCUGUGCUGUGCACGCGGCGCUCAACGGUCCGUGUGGAUGGAAACUGAAAAGCGGAGCGUCGUCGUCGCAAGGCAUCGCACAUCGUAGCCUCGGCGUCCCAGAAAACAAAAACAAAACCGUGUCCUCUCCCACCAGCCGCGAAUUAUUAACAAAACGCUAGCUAGCUGCUAGCAGCGGCACCGGCGCGCAGCGUUCUGAAAGCGGCCGGUGCCGCGGAGCGUAACGUGGCGCGCGCCGCCCGCGUAUAUACUGCACAUGAUCUGAGCUCGGAUCGCGGUGUGAAAUCCCCGCGUCGUUCGUCGGACGGAUCACGCGCCCGCCGCCCGGUACCGGUACGUGCUGUGCUGUGCUGUGCUGUGCAUGCAGCUGCGGUUCCUGUUCACGGGGGAAGGUGGGACUGGGAGGUGGGCCGCGCGCGGCCGACCAGCGUACGUGCCGCCGGUUGCGGAUCUAGGGCAGGCGGGGGAGACUGGGAGAGGGCGGGCGCGGCUGGUGUGGAAUCGGUCCUCGGCCCGACUCGGCAGAGCGCGGCCUGCCGUGCCGCCCGCGUAGUACGUGGAGGUGGUGGUGGCCUGGCUGGCUGGCUGGCUGGCCUGCCUCUGGUGCCCGCGGAAGCAGCGGCGCGCUCGCAUUUAAGGCGCAGCGACAGGUGACGGGGGAGGGGAAGGGAAGGGAGGGUGGUUUGGUGGGUGCGCGCCUGCUUUUUGUCUCGGAAAGCCCGGUCCAGCCGGGGACGGCGACGUCCUGCCGCCGGUCGGUCCCUGGUCGGGGUCCAAGUCCAACCGUUAACAACGUACCCGACCCAUCCACUGCACAGACCACAGCGCUAGCUAGUAGGCUUGCUGUUGCGGCAGCGCCCACCCGCCCGCCCACUGCACGUCGUCGCUGAGGCGAUGACACAGCGAGCACGGCCUCGCCUUUUGUCCAUGUCGCCAUGCAUGCUUCGUUCGAUCUUCCUAAGGUCUCGCAUCCGGCCGGCAUCUCGUUUGAUGAUUAACCAUUCCACGUAGUAUAACCGCGGCUAUACUGACUGUGACUGACUGACUGCAGCCAGCAGCCGAUCCGUAGACCGGCCGAUCGAUCCACCGCCAACACGCUGCUACGUACCGACGUACGGCGGCCUGUUUCGUACGUAUUCAAUUCGUCGCUCAUCAGUUGGUCCAAUCGCGGUGUGGCACUUUUGUCUGUUUCCGACCACAACACCAACCGUACGUAUACUAUAUACGUGGUGAAAAUUCUUCAGGUUAUUGAUGGAUCUGAAUAUGCGUGUGACAUAUAAUCCGGCGAACUGAAUUUAUUUGACCGUACUGUAUAUACGAUCUACUACAUACACCACCAUACUAGUUCUCUAGUUGAUUAUAUAUAGUCGUCGCGCGAUUUGGUAUAUAGGAGAGUAUGUCAAUAUAUAUACUAUGAAGCACGCAGCUAUAUACUGUAGCCUGAUUAGUACUGUAGCUUAAUGAGAUGGGAGACCUAAUCGUUUGAAUUUAUCAGCAUGACUUAUCAACUAUUAUAUAAUAUUUUUUUUCUUAUAACAAAUCAGUAAACACUGCACUCGAAAUAACGCAUGACCUCUUUAGCAACCGCUGGCAAUGGAUGAGAGAAAAAUCAGAACCUAACAAAGCUUACCGGCUACCAAGCUACCUUAGCUAGACCAUACCAGCAGAUAGUAGUACUACCUGACUAGUAGCUACUAUACGUGUAGUUUCUGCCUUGGAAAGGCCAACACGAGUGCAGAGUUAGUAGUUUCUGCCUUGGGAAAGGCCAACACGAGUGCAGAGUUAGGUUCUCCUUACUAAAUUUUAGCUAAAUAAACUUUAGUCACUUUAGUAACUAAAGUUUCAAAUAUAUUGACUAAAAGGAGCUAAAUUAGUUUAGUUCUAUUAGUCAUUCAAAAGUAGCUAAAAUAAUUUUAGCUAAUUAAAAUUUAGCAAAAGAAACCAAACGGGAUCUUAGUCUCAAUCGGUACAAGUUUGGGACUAUGGGAAUCAAGCAGGGGGUUGAAACCCCUCUCGAGGAUCCUGGUCUAAACUGGGGUGCUUAGCCGACUAUUUAUAGCCUUCAGAUCGUCACGCCAUUAGAAAAGACCCGUGGUGACGUGGGACGAAGGACGGAGGAAGUGUGGUAUGGUAUCUAUUUCCUCUCGGUGCUAGCUGCAAAAUGUGACUCUCGAAUCACCAUUCAGCGUGCAUGGGGUCUCCAUUCCAUGCUGGUCCGGUCCAUGGAAAAAAGGCCUAGAGCCUGGCUGUUGCAUGACUGCAUGUAUGUAGCCUCUAUUUUGGACUUGGAACUUAAAGCUGCCGCUUGUUCCACCUAAGAAAAGUAGUAGCAGCAUGACGUAGCAGGGCCGCCACAGCUCCAAACCUUGGAUUUUGUCGUGAGUAGCUACAUGGUUUUUGUCCCAUUUUUUAGUCUUGGUUAGACUUUAUUUUGGCUUUAUUUAGUUUGUGAAAACUUUUAGGUUUAAAUAUUGUUGUAUAAUUAGUUAUUUUUUUAUUAUAUUUAAUGUUCCAUAUAUGUGUUUAAAGAUUUGAUGUGAUGAAGAAUCUUGAAAAUUUUGAGAACUAAACAAGGCCUUUGACACGAUGAUUUCGUCCGACCUUAAAACACAUGUUAAUUUAAACAUUUAAAUAUUUAAUCCAACAAAACAUUGUUUAUUAAUCACAAAUAAUGCUAAGAAUCAGGCCUUGUUUAGUUUUGAAAAAUUUUACAAAAAUUUUUAGAUUUCUUGUUACAUCAAAUCUUACGGUACAUGUAUGAAGCGUUAAAUAUAGAUAAAAAAUAAAUAACUAAUUGCACACCCUUUAAUUUGUGAGAUGAAUCUUUUAAGCCUAGUCAAUCAAUAAUUGGACAAUACUUGUCAAAUACAAAUAAAAAUAUUACGGUGUUUAUUUUGAAAAAAAAAUGGAACUAAACAAGGCCUUAUACAGUUGUAAACUAUAGGGAGGGAGCCGCAUUUAUGGCGGUUGGAGGCAUGUCGCUAUUAUCCGUUAGAUGCCUUGUUUAGUUUGCAAAAAAAUUUGUUUUUUGUCUACUGUAGCAUUUUAUUUUUAUUUGACAAACAUUGUCUAAUCACGGAGUAACUAUGCUCAAAAGAUUCAUCUCACAAAUUACAGGUAAACUGUGCAGUUAAUUUUUAUUUUCGUCUAUAUUUAAUGCUCUAUACAUGCGACCAAAGAUUCGAUGUGACGAGAAAUCUUGAAAAUUUUUGAAGGCCUAAAGUAACGGUGAAGAUCAGACCCAAGGUCAAAAUCGCAGAUCUGAAGCCACAGAAGCGAACAAGCGCCCACAUGAUACCGGACACGCUAUCUCCCGGGCCCCUAGCUACUAGAGUUUAUCAGCCGAUAUAUAAUCCAUUAGGAGCACAGCAAAAUCCGUCGUCAACGGGGCCGGAGAAGCAUAGGAAACCAAGGCCAACUGAUGCCAAUCAGCGUAUCCUAUGCUCCAUCGGCCUCAGACGACGACGCCCGGCUCCACAAGUUGGCCCGAGUUCAAACCCUUCUAGGUUUUGUGUGACAUGUGAGUGUGACUCAUGUUACUGUCUCCGCGACCUAAUCCGAUCCCUUCGUCGCACGGUCUGACUUGUUCCAAAGUCUCUUCCUCGUUCCAUCUUCUAGCUAGUUAUACGUACUUAUAGUAGUGUCUUAAACUUUAUUUAUUCCAUCUGUAGGUAUAUAUUAUAUCCUUGGAAGAAAAAUAGUCAUCGUCGAAUCUAAAGAACGUUAGAAAACGUCUGCUGCCCCGGCCCGCCGCCUGCUUUGUUAGAUGGAAGGAAGGCGCUUAGAAAUAGAAUAUGGCGUGGUCUCACCUGCUCCACCCACAUCGAUGAUGGAUCGUUGCUGGACCGGCCGGCCGGGCCGUCGCAUCACCGGUCUCGCGCGCGACUGCGGAGAAUAUAUAUAUAUAUAUAUAUAUAUAUAUAUAUAUAUAUGUAUGCGCGCGCGCGCGCAUUUGAAAAUGUGUACGCCGAGGAGACACGGCGGCGUACCGGGGGCGUACAGCGUCAGCUCGUACGAAAGAUUCCGGUACAGGAGUAGUAUGUGUAUACGGAGGAGGGGUGGGAGCGGCUGGUUUGUUUAAGGCCUUGUUUAGUUUUCAAAAAGAUUUGUAAUUUUUUUCCAGAUCCCUUGUCAUAUCGAAUUUUUAGACGUAUGCAUGAAGUAUUAAAUAUAGAUAAAAAUAAAAACUAAUUAUACAGUUUGAUCGGAAUUGACGAGACGAAUCUUUUGACUCUAGUUAGUCCAUGAUUGGACAAUAUUUGUCAAAUACAAACGAAAUUGAUAUUAUUCACAUUUUGCAAAAUAUUUUGCAACUAAACAAGUUCAUGCUCAUGCAGGGUUUCCACUCGUGUAGUCCAGUCGUGGUGGAACGUGGGAACAGGUAUUGUACGGUGCCUUAUUUGCUUUUCCGAGACGAUGUUUCGGCGCGUGUUGGGAAUCUCUCCCCAGCAUAUUCUGAUCUACUCCGGCCAAAAUGGCGCAGGGAGAUGAUUCAAAUUGUAGUGAUGGCGUAGCAAUAGCAACACGGACGUUUGCAGACGGUAUAUAGAGUCACGGUAAGGUACUCGAUCGAUCUAGCUUCACAAACGUGGUAUUUGUUGCUGCACCUGCGUCCUUUGUGCAAUCAUCGAGCUGCCCACCACGGAUUCCAUGCAUGACGAGAUCUCCUAUCUAGUCGGCCGGUCUGAUCCCAUGACCAGCGGAGGAUCCCCCGGCCGGCCGGCGCAGAUAGCAGCAGCGCCGAACCUUUUCGCCCCUACACUAUUCAGGCUUUGUUUAGUUCACCCCGAAAACCAAAAAAUUUUCAAAAUUCCCCGUCACAUCGAAUCUUGUAGCACAUGUAUGAAACAUUAAAUAUAGACGAAAAUAAAAACUAAUUACACAGUUUAGCUGUAAAUCACGAGACGAAUCUUUUGAUCCUAGUUAGUCCAUGAUUGAAUAAUAUUUGUCACAAACAAACGAAAGUGUUACAGUCCCGAAAACUUUUCACUUUUCGGAACUAAACAAGACCUCACCCAAAAACGUCCCUCUCGCCCGCCAUCGCUAUCGGUGAAUCCAUCCUUGAUCGAUCCCUCCAUCCCCCCGACGCGCGCGCGGCGGAUGGACCGCCCGCGGCCACGGACGCCCGUGCUGGUCCGCCGUCCGCGGUUCGCGCCGCAGACGCGCGCGAGCUCCUCCUCCCCACAUUGGCACGCUGCCUGCUCUCUCGAUCGCUCGCGCCAUCGAUCAUCGAUCGCCCACCCGAUCGAGGCACGCGCGCUCUCGCCGGGCGGCCGGCCGGCUGCUAGCUAGCGAGCUGACGUGCAGGGGGAUGCAAUGCAACGCAAGCGGCCGAUGAUUUGAUUUGGAUUCAUCGCCUCGCGCGCGCGAACACGUGCUUCCUCAUCCCCCGGACGACGGCGCCAAUAAUCCGCCGUCAAUUCAGCCUUGCACGGCUAGGCAGCCACCGACCGUGACAUGCGCCGAACCGUACCGCCCAAAAGUUACCUAUCACAUACUACGAUGGAUCAGUUCAUCCAUCUAUCGACUACUACUAACUAUAUAUCUACCAUCGCUAGAGCGAUAGAUGCUAGUAUAGCUGUAGAGAGUAGUGCAAAUAUCUCGAGAAGUCGAUAUUAAACUACACUUUAAUUAUGUGCACGAUGUUAACUUAACUGGCGCUAGUUAGAGCGAGCUAUCUACGCCCAGUCUCCAUCGGAAUGAGUAGCCGCCACCCAGGGCUGCUUGGAGUUGGAGAACAACUGCCCUUUUCUUCUGUGCUAGCUAGCUACUAGCUUUUCUUCUUUGAUUCUUUCACAUGUGAAAAGAGGUACGUGCACGCAACAUACGUUUGCCGAUUGCCGUGGCUGCCUAGCUACGAACGAAUGAGCAGCGAUGGAGUGGCUAGGUUGCCAAACACGCAUAUAGCUAGCUCUAGCUGUGUGCUGCCUGUCUGGUGGCGAUAGAUUCGGCCGGCAAAGUAUCCGCAAUCAACUCUAACGCUUGUACUUAUUCGGCUUAAUUAAGCUAGCGCAGCAAUAAAUCAAAGUGCCACUAUAUAUAUGAUCUAGUAUCUACUGUAUCCGAUAACUCGGCCCGUCACGUACAACUCCAUGUAUUACGACAUACCACAGCUAUAGACUACGUACACGCUGCUAGGAUAUCUUGUCUGGUUUAAGUUCGGUUCGGCAACUGGGCAGUGGAAGCUCAUCAGCUCUAGUUUACGAAGCGAAUAGAUCGUGGGAGGACUUGAAUUUGAUGCUUGAACGGCAUGAAACAAUCAGGAGUAGGACGUGGGAAUUGAAUAGUUUAUAAUGGGGCAUAUAUGGGCUUGACUUGAUCUGGUUAGACAGACUCUCAGACCUAACCGUAACACGUCGAUGGAGACAUGGAGAGGAGUCAAAUGCUGCUCUUGGACCGCCAACAUGUCCAAACUUGGACCACCAGUGACCUCGGCCUCCCGUCAGCGUGAUGCCAUCAUACACUUGUUUUUUUAACUGUAUGUAAACAGUACUCUCUCUUCCACAAAUUGAUCUAACUAUAGAAUUUGUAUAAGACAAAUUAGCAUAAUUUUGACUAAGUUUAUGGUUAUAUAUAUCUUCAACUAGGUUUACAAUGAUAUACUAAUAGUACACUUAUUUUGUAUUGUAAAUGUUAAUAAUUUUUAUAACUUUGUCAAAACUUAGACCGCUUGAACCUAUAAAAAGUGAGAGUUGCAUCCUUUUAUGGAUGCAGAGAGUAUGGUACGUGCACGAUUUCUUGUCUUUUCCAUUUAUCUAAAUGAUGAUUAUAUAUAUUAACGUAAUUUUUCAUGACAAACAUGGGAAGGAGCCCAAGCCAACUCGGUACAACAUUGUAGAUGUUGCUCCAGUAAAACACAUCAUAAAAUCUAUCUAUCAGUUUUUUUUUGUUUUGAAAGAAUCUAUCUAUCAGGAUUUUUUUCGCGUUGCCAAAUAUACUUGCUCUCACAAAAAUAAUUCUGAAACGUCUGCCAUCUUCUUUUUUUUUCGAAAAAAAACGUCUGCCAUCUUGAAUCUAUAUCCGUUCUCAGAGACAGAGACACUCCUGGUAGGCAUCGGCUGUGCAUCACCAACAGUGUUCAACGACAACGAUUAGUAACAACCAGGCAUUGGUCUCGCACUCUUACCUUGCUGCACACUCCUUUUCCAAUUAAGGCCUUGUUUAGUUCGCAAAAAUUUUUAAGAUUUCCCGUCACAUCGAAUCUUUGGUCGUAUGUAUGGAGCAUUAAAUAUAGAUAAAAAUAAAAACUAAUUGCACAGUUUAUCUGUAAUUUGUGAGAUGAAUCUUUUGAGCCUAAUUACUCCAUGAUUGGAUAGUGUUUGUCAAAUAAAAACAAAAGUGCUACAGUAGGCAAAAACUGAAAUUUUUGCGAACUAAACAAGGCCUAAACGAGCACGUUUUGAUCCCGCUCCCGUCAAAAGAAUCCAAAACCCUCCAAAUGCAGAAAACUGAAAUGUCUGGGUUUCGGCAUGCAUGCCUUUCGCUUUUCCGACUGGAUCGCGAUCACCCAGCCACCAAAUUGACCGGGCGGCAAUCCUGACCGUGGCCUUGCCCUGUAUGCUCACCAUUGCUCGGAUAAAAAAGGCCACAGGCAGGCAAAUAAAGCAAGAAAGGAGGGCAUGCAACCAUGCAAGUGGUGAGCUCUGAUGGGUCAGGGAGAGCUCUCGUUUCCAUGCCCUCCCACUCGGCCACUCAGAUUAAGAAUAACAUGGUGUGGAAAAAGGAUGGCCCAAUGGGCAACUUUCCUUUACGUUUUAUCCUGAAAGUGAUGUGAUCAUCAUCUGAGGUUGGGAGUUGGAGCUGGUGUUCCUGCAUCCCCUUUAGGCCCCAGCUUUUAGCAAAAGAAAUUGUCUGGAUCUCUCUCGAGCUUCCCGUUCAUACUACGUAUACUCCACAGUACAGUGGCGACGGAAAUUAACAUAGUAUUGCUUAGUGAUAUCACGAUGAUAUUAGUUGCCACGGACCAUGCAUGGUGAAAAUGCAUGUUUGAUUUGGUCAAACAAGUCAAGGGAACGUGCAUGGUCCAAGGCAGCAAAGGGCGAAUUCUGUGGCGACCCACAGCACCACUUGCUCAUUGUUUACUCGCCACCUUUGGACCAGCAGCCAAUGGACGGAGAAAGCUUUCAAUCAGGUUCAACGUCUUGUGAUCGGUCUGUCUCUCCUUUAAGAAACCCUCCGAUGGCAUGGCAGAUUGGCAUUUCAGUUACGACAGAUAGAUAUGGAAUCCACCGGCCAAUUGUUCAUCCUCUGUAUGAAGUACUUAAUCCCUCACUGUUUGCAUAGCUAAAUACUUCUACUCUUGUAGUAAUAAAUAAUACAUGAUACAAACCUCUGCUUUCUUCCUGUGAUAAGUACGCUGUAGAAAGGGAAUGCACCAAAGGUACUCGCAUCAUCACUUCAUCAGUUUUACAAAAGUGGCCAUGUUUAUCUAUACUCCUGGAAGAUGCGUCUUCUUGCCGUUUUUUCUAAUCUGAUUAAAAAAGGAAAAAUAAAACUUAUAUUCCUUCACCUGAGCCUUACAGGGCAAGAGUACUGAUAUUUGUCAAAGAUCAUUACAGGAGUGGACUGACCACUGACCAUAUGCUACGAGGGUUACUAUGGCCUUGUUAGUCGUGAAAAUUUUUAGGUUUGGCUACUGUAGUACUUUCGUUUUUAUUUGACAAAUAUUGUUCAAUUAUAGACUAACUAGGCUCAAAAGAUUUAUCUCGUAAAUUUACAUGUAAACUAUACAAUUAGUUAUCUUUUUUAUUUAUAUUUAAUACUUCAUACAUAUGCCAUAAGAUUUAAUGUAACAAGGAAUCUUGAAAAUUUUUGACAACUAAAUAAGACCUAUAUAUGCGUGGCAGGUGCAUGGUGUUAUUCCCAAAUACUAGUAUUUUUUUGGGCCCCUUUUGACUUGCACUCGUGACCAGUUGGGUAGAUCGAGGGGAGGCCCUCUUGUUUUCUAGUAGCAGUACUGUUCCUUCUCUCCUCUCCAGGUGGGCCGCAACGCGCAGAGAAUCUUCUCACAGAAAGUCGCGCUCAGGUUUGUUCACACCUUGCUCCAAUGAUCACCUGUGCGGAGCUCAGAAAGCUGGCACUAGGGCCUUCUUUAGUUCCCAACAAAAAAAUAAAAAACUUUUCAACAUUCUCUGUCACAUCGAAUCUUACGAUAUAUACAUAGAGCAUAGAUGAAAACAAAAACUAAUUGCACAAUUUACUUGCAAAUCGCGAGAUGAAUCUUUUAAGCCUAGUUACUCUAUGAUUGGACAAUGUUUGUCAAAUAAAAACGAAAAUACUACAGUAACGAAAUUAAAAAAAUUUGGCAACUAAACAAGGCCGAGAAUGCCGGCACAGUGACAGUUCUAAUGGCAUGGUGUGAAGUGACAAAACGUAGCAGAUCAUUGUUUGGACAAGUAAUUGUCCAGUUGUCGGAAAAAAAAUUGGGAUAUCGUAGCACUUUUGUUUGUUUUUAAUAAAUAUUAUUUAAUCAUAGAUUAAUUAAGUUUAAAAGAUUUAUGUUGUAAAUUACAGAUAAAUUAUGUAAUUAGUUUUUAUUUUCGUCAAUAUUUAAUGUUCCAUACAUACAUUUAAAGAUUUUGAUGUGAUGAAUUUUUUUUUUUUGGAUUUUGGGGACUUCCUUUGUAGUCCUUGUUUAGACCUUGUUUAGAUCACGCUAAAAUCCAAAAAAUUUUCAAGAUUUUUAAUCACAUCAAAUCUUGUGGCACAUGUAUAGACUACUAAAUAUCGACGAAAACAAAAACUAAUUAUAUAGUUUGUCUGUAAUUUACGAAACGAAUUUUUUGAGCCUACUUAGCCUAUAAUUGAAUAACAAUUAUCAAAUACAAACGAAAGAACUACAGCUUUUGAGAACUAAACAAGAACUACAAAGUAAGUCCCGAGCACCCCGCCAAAGUCCUGAUUCACACCCGCACAACGAGUAUUGAGGCCAUAUUUAAUUCCCAAAAGAUUUUGCAAAAAAAAUCAGAUUUCCAUUAAAAUCGAUUUUUGUGGCGCAUAUAUGGAGUAUUAAAUAUAGAUAAAAAUAAUAACUAAUUGCACAAUUUGCCUAUAAUUUACGAGACGAUUAUUUUGAGCCUAGUUAGUCCAUAAUUGGACAAUAUUUGAAAAAGUCAAACGAAAAUGCUAUGGUGCCCAUUUUGCAAAAAAUUUUGGAAGUAGGUCUUGUUUAGUUCCAAAAAAAUUUGCAAAACUUUUCAAAUUCUCGGUCAUAUCGAAUCUUGUGGCACAUGCAUGGAGCAUUAAAUAUAGAUAAAAAAAAUAACUAAUUGUACAGUUUAUCUGUAAUUUGCGAGACGAAUCUUUUGAGUCUAGUUAAUCUAUAAUUAGACAAUAUUUAUUAAAUACAAACGAAAGUGCUAUAGUGUCAAUUUUCCAAAAAAAUUUAAACUGAACAAGGCCUAACCAAGGGGUAGGGGUGCCCGUGCGUGUCUGACCUGACCUGCCCGAUCGAGCUGGAGAAGCAAAAGUGCAGCACUGCGCAGUCCCAGCGGCGCCUGACACGACGUGAAAGCGCGUGCCGCGGCGGCGCGGGGGUACAUGACGUGCCCGCCGCCGGUUGGGGCGGUGUGCUGUACUGCUGCUCGUGUUUGCCUUCUCCAACGUGGCAUGGCACGCUAGGCCAAAAAAUUUCGGAUUUCGCUACUGUAGCAUUUUCGUUUUUAUUUGACAAAUAUUAUCCAAUCAUAAACUAACUAGGAUCAAAAGAUUCGUCUCGUGAUUUACAGACAAACUGUGUAAUUAGUUUUUAUUUUCGUCUAUAUUUAAUGCUUCAUGCAUGUGCCGCAAGAUUCGAUGUGACGGGGAAUCUUGAAAACUUUUUGGAUUUCGGGGUGAACUAAACAAGGCCUAGGUGCUAUGGCUUUUGCUAUGCCUAUGCAUGCUACACGACGCCAGCCUGCGCGCGGGCAGGGGACAGAUGAGGCGAACAUGUCAAUAACCCCGCAAGCUAUCUAUCGGAUGGAUCUCGAUCUGGCCGGCGGUGGCCUGGUAGUGUAGCGUUUCUAGCUAUGCUGCGAUAGAUGCGGGAUAGAGAUGGUGCUGGCCCUGGCCUCCGCGUUGGUGCCUGCGCUCUACGCAUAUUUCGUGGUGGCAUGGUCUUGUUUACUUCCAUCAAAAAAACUCAAAACUUUUUCAAGAUUCUUCGUCACAUCGAAUCUUUAUACACAUACAUGGAAUAUUAAAUAUAGAUGAAAAUAAAAACUAAUUAUACAGUUUGGUCGGAAUCGACGAGACGAAUCUUUUGAGCCUAGUUAGUCCAUGAUUAGACAAUAGUUACCACAAAUAAACGAAAGUGCUACAGUGUCACCAAUUUUUUUUUUUGUUUCGCUUGUGCAUGUAUUGGUGUCUGCAGCCACAGUUGGAAAGCAAAUCCUGUUGAACCGUCCGAUCAACUAGUCGAAUCUACAACUGACGCAGUCGGUUGACCAUAUGUUAGCUACCACGAUCAGAUGGUUAUGACCACACCGCAAAGAGGAUCAAACGUCCAACUAGUUUAAUCCAAAGACCGGGUUGUAACCAGCAUUUUCAUUUUUGCAGGGUCUGUAAAUGGCAAGGCGCCUAGGCCAACGUAGAUGAGUAGCAAGAGCCGGCGGGGGGACCACGGGAACUGGGAGGCUGGAGGGUAGGAAGGCCGAGGUGAAUAACAGAGGCGUGGAGGACGAGAAUGGAGGCGGCCCAGGCCAGGCGGAGAGGGGGGACCAAGUGAGGUGCGCUCGCCGCCUCGCCGGUCGCCGUCAGAGCUGCGGAGCGAUGAACGAUGCCGUAGGCGCACAUGUGGCCCUAACUUCCUUCUUAGGCUGAAUUGAAGACCUACUCUUAGCGGUUUUUGGGUCGGCCCCGGGCUGUAGCCCCCAAGCCCAUGUCCGCCCCUGUGGUGGCCGAGGUCUGGAGCGUGGCGUCAUGUCCUCUGGCGGGACGGAGGCGCCGUGAGUUCCCUGUCGUGCGCCAACUUGCACGACUGCAGCCGACGCCCCAAGGCAAGUGCCCAGAGGCCUUCGUCGGUCCCUUUCGCGUCCCUCUCCGGCGAAGAGCACCGCCUGGUAUGCGCGCUCUUUUCUAUUCCUUUUGUGCUGCACGAAACCGGGCACUCGAACCCUAACCGAGCACCACCACUCCGCCCCCAAGGGCAGGUUGCCCGCGCCUAAUACUCUGAAUUUGGCAAGGGCGGGCCCAGGCCUAAGGCCAGUAGGGCCAUGGCCCUAGUCAUAGCCCAGAAAUUUAAAAAGUAACUCUUUAGUUUUGGCUAAAAAAAAAACUCAUUAGACCUACUUUGGCAGCCCAAUUUUUUGAAGGAUUCUGGCUUUUUUUCUCGGCCAGCCUCCCUAGACCAAAUUUAUGCGCACAGCCCACCAACACGACAAUUCCAGCCCGUUUUCCAGGAUUUCCGCGUUAAGCAAAAGACUAGGGUGGGCCAAGAGAAAAACAAGUCGCUCAGGCUCAGCUCAGCCACCGAGCCAAGCGCGGACGGCGGACGCGCCCACGCCGCCGCACGCCUCUCCUCCGAUCUCGCGGCUCCGCUCCUGCCUCCUGCUUCCGGCGACCGGCGUCCCGCCUCCGGCCUCCCUCAUCUUGCUCGGCGCCUCCCCUGCUGCUCGCAGCCUCGCGCCCUCGCCUCUGGCCAGGCCCCUGCUGCCUCGACCCCAGUCCCCAGGGCCGACCGCGUCCUCGCCCCAGGGCGGCAGGGCCGACCGGCGACCGCGUCCUCACCCAGACCCAGACGCGCUCGCGGCUCGGGCCUCGGCUGCCGGAGUGCCGGCAGAGGCGCAGAGCUCGGAGGCCAGACGUGCCCGCCCGGGUCUGUCCGCCUUCGGCCUGUCCCUGCGUGGGCGUGGCUGUGAAGCCGCCAGGGGCAGGGGAUUCUGUGAACGUGAAGGUAUGUAUUUCUUCAAGUUUUCAGUAGUUCAGUUAUUCUUUUUCUCUUGAUUUCAACUGCUAUAUAGUUCAAGAAUUUCUCUGGAUUUGCAAACAUUGCGGUUCCAAUCUGCUUUGUAGUUUGUAGUUCGUACGGGAGCACAAGCAGAGGCGACCACUAUUUGCUACCUGCUUGGGGAGGAUUGUGUGAUGGAUGUUCACGGAGAGGCGGAUGAUGUGGCCAUGGAGGUGGAGGCCGAGGCCAGCCCGUGCAGGGGGCACUCCUCUCCUGUGAUUUCAGGGUCACCAUCCCAGAAUUCUGAUAGAAGCAUGUCCUCGUGGCGGCUGGGCCUCAAGAACAGCAUCCAGACUAACUUUGGAGAUGAUUAUGUCUUCCAAAUUGCUUCUUGGUAAGAGCCCCGUGCUCCCCUGUCUUGUCAUUUAGAUUGAGAUUUUUAUGUCGUCAAGAAUGGAUUAGGUAGGUUCACAUGAGCCAUUGGGGCCCAUUUAAGGUUGCAGAUAGAAUCCUACUUAACAGUCUGUGUAUCACGCAUGGUUAUAGGGUGUUUGGUAAGUUUGAGGAACGGAGUAGUCCAUCAUCUUUUCACUCACUUUUUUGUUUGGUUUGUGAAAUGGAAUGGGUUGAUCCAUGAUCCAUCAUCACUUCGUUCCUCAAAACCACAAGCUAAUAAUUAGUGUAAGCAUGAGGAGAUGGGAAAUGAAGUCACUUCACCAAAUUUGAGGGAUGGACUCAUGAUGCACCACCUCAUCUAGGAUGGGGUGAUUCCUCAAAGUAAACACCCUAUUAAUAGAAAUUCUGGCUCCUUCAAGGCUUCAACAGCCUUUACCAUGCAGCCUAUCCAUCUUUGAGAAAAGUUUUUCCUUAGUAAUACAUUUUAAGAAAAUCGCGAGUUUGCAACUAACAUUGUCAUACGCCUUCCCAAAAUCCAGUUUCAAAAUGAUACCCUGCUGUUUCCUGACCCUAAGUUCACAUAGGAAUUCAUGCAGAAUAAGAACUCCAUCCAACAUAUGAUGGCCCGGCAUGAAUGGUCUUUUAUUAGCUCGAGUUAUCUUUUCAUCCACUUUGGUCAAUCUGAUAGUUAACGUUUUGGUUAUAAUCUUAUACACCAUAUUCGAACAUUCAGUAGACAAAUUGGAUGUUGAUGACCUAUAUGGUUAUUGCCUGUAAUCGUCCGCUCCUAUUUUUAUUCACGUUUUUUAUUGUAUAACUGAUAUUAUCCGUGCUUCUAGUACUGAUGCUGAUGCCCUUUUGCUUCUUCGUGGAUAUAUCUGGUAACAAGCCAGGAGAUCUCAAGGCUUGCAGUUUCCUUGUCAACAAAUGCACUAAAGUUUUAUUCUCCGGAAACUGGACAGUAUCUAGGGGAAUGCAAAGGACACGAAGGAACAAUCCAUGAAAUCUCCUUCUCAGCUCCAUCAUCACCACAAGUAAUCUGUUCUUGUUCUUCUGAUGGAACUGUCAGAGCUUGGGAUACAAGAAGCUUUAAGCAGGUUAUUUUCUAAUACUUUAUGUUUGUUGAAUAUUCUUGUCAGCAUAUCAGUUUUCGUUGUAUGUGUGUAUGAUUGCUUAAUAAGACUACCACAUCUACAUAUUUGACAAAAAAAAAAGAUAAUCAUAUAUUCAUAUUACCCUACAGGCUAGAGGCGUAGAACAUCUGAACACUGUGACCAUGAUUGUGUGUCCCUGAAAUGGUUAUGUUAUUGCUCACGCUAAUGGAAAUUAGUCAAUAUUUCUGUUAUGUUCGAAUUUUUUCAUGUUCCUGUUAACAUAAUGGCUAUAUUUGUGUUCACUUCAUUUAGUCAUUUGUUCUACGUUUAGAUUAAUAUAUGCUGGCGUGUGCACUUUAUUGCUACUGCUUAUGCAUUCAUAUUGGAAUACUGCCCUACUCCUGCUUAAAACAGUUUUAGUGCCCUGACUAUUUCUUCUAUUCGCUUUGUAAAUUCUACUACCCAAACAAGUUCUGUUUUUUGAUUUCACGGUUGAUUUGUAGCAUUGAACCCAUUGAUCCCAGUUGAUGGAAAACUGAGUAUAUUUAUCCAUACUUUGUACCUACUUUUCUUUAUACUGGGCAAUUUGAAACUAUCUUCCCAUUCAAAAGAAAGAGAAAAAUUAGAGAAGUAAAUGGAAGUUCAACUCAAUAAUGUGAUGUCAUUUGUGGAUCGCCUUUGUGACUAUCAUUACAAUGAACUUAUGCAGUUUGCUGAACUUAGAUGACAUAGUUUUGUUACAACGUUAUGACAGUAUCAAUUCUUCAUUUCAAUAUAAAAAGUAUUAGUGCUGUUGAAUAUGAUUUAGAUUUUUAUCUAAUUAGCUACUAGCACUUCAUUAGAUGCCACAUGUGUCCUGUUGUCAAGAGUUUUACCAUUUCACAUGCAUUUCAGCAUUUGAUAUGCCAUUAAUGAUCAGUGUGCUGUAUGGCAGGUUUUUAUGUUUCUCUUUUUUUGUACCAGUAUAAGUAUGUAUGUUUGUGUAAAGUUCUGUAUGUUCUAAAUUCAACCGUUCACCAUCUCUAUAUGUUACCCAGAUAUCUUUGCUAAGAGGAGGCGCGUCACAAGAAAUGUUUACCUUCUCUUUUGGUGGAUCAAGUGGUAGCCUACUUGCUGCUGGCUCUAAUGCCCAGGUAACCGAGUAGACAUGUAAUAUUAGGGAAGACAUAGUUUAGGGUUUUCUUGUAUUCAUCACAGACCUGCAUUGUUCAUGUUUCUAUAGAUAUGUGCGCAAACUUUUCAUUUGUAUAACAAACCAGUACAACAAUGAUGGGUGGGCCUGCAGUCUUAAUCUCUCUUCAGUUCUGGCUUGGAGGUCCUGGGUUUGAACCAGCCUCCCUGUAGAAUUAUGCAAGGGUAAGGAUGUUUAGAAAUUCCACUCCCCAGACCCCACAUUUGUGUACUUGUGUGGGAGCUUUCAGCACUGCGUGCUUCUUAUUAAACCAGUACAACAACAAAAAUCUAAGAAAAAAUGUCGAUGUACUUUGGAAACUCAUGUCACUUGAUAUAAAUUUUGAAGUUCAAUUACUUCCCACAUUGAGGGUAGCCAAGAUGUGAUUUUUUAUCAAACAUUAAACAUAAAGCACGAGGGCCCACAUGUCCUGAAUUCUCGCAGUCUGGGCACUAAAAAAGGUUGGUGAUGACUGCGAACUCGUAUUGCUCGGUGUCAUUGUGGAUGGGGGCGCUUUUGUUGUCGAACACAUCGUCGUACUAGCCGACAGAGUCACAUUUGCAGGCUAGAGUGGCCUCGCAUUCGAGUGCAGUCACCUACUGGCAUUUGCACUCCAAGUGAUGGUGUGGCACGGGCUGCAACAUUGGCAAUGAUCGUGUGGGUUUCACAAUUGCGACCAACUGCUGCGUCGUGUUCGCGGGCAGCAGUUGCCUCAGUGUCAUCGUUGGGUUGGUGUUGGUGAUGAUGGCAUGACUGGCCAUGGUAGCCAGGGCAAGUGUGUUGGGGUCUAGGGGUUAUGGUGCGGAAGCAGUUUCUCACAGGAGACAAACAUUCGUGAUACCAUGAUAGCAUAGGAACUUCACAUGUAAUAGAUUGAUAAAUUAAACCGAUCAAGGGUUACAAACACCUACUAAGCCCACACAAGCUAAACAAAUCUCCCAUGAUUUAUGGAAUCAAUAUCAGAGAGCGAGAGAGAGAUGACCAAACAGGGAUUAAGGUAAGUAUGGCAGUAGCUCUUUUUUCUUGAUUUUCUAUUAUAUCAAUACACUAUCCAUAUCAUUAGUUUUCCUGAAGAGUUAAUCACAUGUCACUGAUAGUUUCCGUUAAGAUUCAUGAUCCCUAUGUAUAAACACUCGCAAUUAGUUUCUCUACUUUAUCCCACUAGGUUUUAAGUUAUCUGUAGUUUGUCCUGGAUUCUCUGCAUGUAUGGUACAAGUUAAGGCGUUUGGAUUCUCUUACCAAGGAAGGCAUUUUUGCUCUGGGAAUCCCAAUAUUCCCAAUGUUGCUAAUCUUAUAUUAUCCAAAAGUUAUUAUUCAUCGUCGUAGUAUAUAACUUAAAGUCAUUUGCUUCUGGUAUCUUCAGCUUGUAAACAUUUCCAAGCACGCACACAUGGUUGCUAGAAUUAAGCACUUUAGUUGCUCUGCUAUCUGCAUCUUUUGGCAUGGAGGUGUUGUAAUUUGGUUGAUAUGUUUUUUUUAACUUUUAAUUAAUACUGGAUCUCCUAAUCACUUCGUUGUAGGUUCUAUUCUGGGAUUGGAGAAGUUCAAAACAAAUUGCAUGCUUAGAGGAAUCCCACAUGGAUGAUGUGACACAAGUACGUAUUAUUCUUGUUGAUCCAAGUUUAUUUGCAUUUUUUCAUUGAACAAAUUGAAAAGAAAUUCUCUCAACCCAAAGAAUUAUAUCAUAGUAUUUGUACUUGUAUUAAAUAAUGUGGUUCCCUCAGUAUUUUUUGUUCAUACUAAGAACUGUUAGUAUUAUGACACUAAUAGUCAAUGUGAAGCUGGAUACAAACGAUCAUUUGUAGAGCAUGACACAUGCUGAACAAAAGCUCUUUUUCAGACUAAUCAGUUUAUAUGAAGGUUUAGCAGAAGAUAUUGGCACCAAAAUUAACUUAUAUAUAUUUUUUUUUAAAAAAUCAUGUGUCCUUGCAGUGUUGUUGUUUUAUUUUUCUUUUUUAAAAACAGUUAUUAUUGUCCUAAGAUUUUAAAAACUUAUAUGUUCUUGUAACAUGCACAGUGUAUUUAAAGAGAAGAUUGUGUCAGUUCUUUAAAGAUAAUCACACAAUCUGCUUUUGCCCCUUAAGCACUAUACACUUCAUCAAUAUGCUGUUAUUAUAUUACAUCUACUUUUGCAUUGACUCAAUUUAUACCGUGCACACAAGGCUCUUGCAACUCCUAGUGUGGAUGAUUUAUAUUUAUUUUUUGUUCGGCAGGUCAAAUUCGCACCACAUCAACAAAGUAAACUCAUUUCUGCGGCAGUUGAUGGAUUAAUAUGUGUUUUUGACACUGAUGGUGAAAUUGACGAGGACAAUCAUCUGCUAUCUGUAUGCAUAUACUCAAUAGUUCUCUACUGUUGUAUCUUAAAUACUUUGUCAUCUUUAACUUGUCAAAAAAAUUGAAGUCUUCAAUCUUCUGUACUUGUUAUUAUAGUUAGUAGUGACCUAUUCCAUAGAGCUUCGAGCAAUAUUCCUUGUGGUCCUCUAUAUCAAUGUUAUUAUGCUGUUGAAUUUUUAUAGUGGUCCUGUGUUCAUUAAAAACUAAUUCAUUAAACAACUGAUACAACUAUUUGUAGCUGGUUCUCUUUCUAGCUAGUUUGUUGGCAAGUAAACUUGUGCUAAAUGCUAAUUCAGGUGUUAUACAAGAUUUUGCUUUUAGGUUAUCUUGUUGUGACAGUUUUUCUCUCUCCAUAAUUUGUAUCAAUUUUUGGUGUUUGCUCUCUGAUAAUUGAUCUCCCAUAGGUUAUGAAUGCGGAAACAUCUGUUGCCAAAGUGGGUUUUUUUGGGAAUACAUAUCAGAAGCUUUGGUGUUUAACCCAUAUUGAGACAUUAAGGUAGCUUCUUUGUGCAUAGUUACAUUUUUAUUUUAUUACCCCAUUUGGAGAGCUCCAGCUCUCAGCACCAUGUCAAAUUUGGAAUUUGUAACUUAAAAUAAAGUGUCCUCGAUAACUUGAUUUGGGUGCUUGUUUCUUAAAGAAAACCCAUUUUCCUAGUUCCUCCUAGUUUGGAUCUCGUUUUUGCAAACUGAGCCAGCCUGGUGGUAAGAGUGCCUGCUAUGCCCUCACCAAACUGGGCUUUGAACCGUGGUGUCAUACCUUUCUCGUUGCAUUAAGAGAAGGAGAGUUAGGCCAAAAUAGCUAAACACAGCGUACAACACAUAGUCACAUACCCACACACGCUACAUCACUUGCCCGUGGUCACCGGGCUAUACUUUUACAUUUUUCAUUUGCGUCAAAGACAUGUAAGUUACGACCCGCUAGACCAACUCCCAACUAUAGGACAGGGGGCCUAGAAGCGACCAACGCGCCAAGACCUUUCGCACCAGCCAGUAUCCAGAGUUCAGAUUCUUCAUGCACCAGAAUAAAUGUUCUGUUCACUCUAGGGAUGAUCCCAUUGAAUACCACGUCAUUCCUUGCUUUCCACAGGGUCCAUGCCCCUAAAACGACCAAAGGCAACAUAAAGGUAUGCAGUGCCUUUGUGUUUGGUUGUCCUGCAUAGGAAAGCUGGUAAAAUUGUGUUUGUUUAUUUACAUUUUAUUGCAUAUAGUCACCUUAUAUGUUCUAUUACAGGUCUCCUUUUUCUAGUAAAGGUACAGAAUGUGUAAAUAUUUCAUUUUUGUAUGCCCGUCGGCUUAUGCAAAUCUGCAUUUGUCUAAUUCGGAAAACACUUUUUCAAACCCCCCCCCCCCCCCCCCCCCCCGAAAAAUCUGGUGUACUAGUUAAUGCUGCAUUGGCCUGCUUUGAGCACUGUGCACAUGCCUGGAUACAUGCUAAUGCAGGCAACCAAUCAAAUCCUGAGAAUAUCAAAUAAUCCAAGUAUGAUAGCUUGGACAUUGGACAAUUACGUUGUUUUCCUUAACAUUCUUGCAGUGUCUGGGACUGGAUUGACGGGGCUAGAGAGUUGAAUAUAGAAGAUGCUCGUUCCUUGGCCACUGAUAGGUGGAACCUUGACCAUGUGAGUAUUCGUUAGGAUCUGUGAUGCUUGUAUUUGUUUUUGUACGUUUAUGAUAUUUGGCCUCACAUGGAGCUUUGAUGUAUGCUGAUGGACAGUUUCAUAUAUAAUUACUCUUUGCCAAAAUCUAGGUACUUUUGUACCUGUCUUAAGUCAAUAUUUUAGGUUUGGCCAAAUUUAUGGAGAAGGGUUUCAACAUCUACCACAUCAAAAGAGUAAAAUAUGAACAUUUUUCAUAGUGGACCUAAUGGUGCUCGAUUGAGAUCAUAAAUAUUAUUAUUCGUUUCUAUAAACUUGGUCAAACUUAGGAUAGUUUGACUUAUGAAAAACUAUAGUAUUUUUUUGGGGACGGAUGGAGUAUUGUAAAGCAUUUCUGGUAAUUAAAUAAAUUAUUAGUUUAUUUAGAGAUAAGCCCCCCCUGCUUUAUUUCAAUGUAAAACAAAGCCAACAGAUCCAGUUAUGUACAACAUAUUUGUUUCAAUGGCAAGGAGAGAAGCCAGUGAAUUUCGGAGACCAAAAUAAGGAAUCUCUUGAGAGACGAGUCUGGUUGUACUUCUAUAGUAAUGGCUAUUCAGCUUUAGAUAUCUGUUCCUGGGAUGAAACUUGUCCAGGGAAACUAUCUUGGGUUGUCUUAUUCAUGCAGAAUCAAUUCUUGUUUCUGAUUUUUUUUUCAUAUAAUCACAUCAUUUCUAUGUUUACUCUUGAACAAGGAUAUUCUUUUCUUUUCCGCCUUCUAUUGUCUCUUUUAUAUUUGGUAUCCCCCCCCCCCAUUUUCUCAAUUUCUACUACUAUUUUUAUAUGGCAGGUUGACUAUUUCGUUGACUGUCACUAUUCCAUGCCGGAUGACCGGCUAUGGUUGAUUGGUGGCACAGCUGCAGGGACGUUAGGUUACUUUCCUGUAAGAAAUGAUCACGCAGGAGCAAUAGGUUCAGCCGAAGCAAUCCUUGAAGGAGGCCAUACAGGAGUUGUUAGGUCCGUGUACCCCUCUGCAGGAAUCCAUGAGAGCCUUGGGCAAAACAGGGGCAUCUUUGGAUGGACAGGAGGUGAAGAUGGUCGUUUGUGCUGCUGGCGCUCUGAUGAAAUCGCAGAGAUAAACAAAUCUUGGAUCUCUAGUUCACUAGUGUGCAAGCAGCAAAAGAAAACCAAGAAUCGGCAUCAGCCCUACUAGCCGCUAUGGAUACCGUUUGUAACGUUUGGCACUGACAAGGGAAAGCCUGGCCUGUAUGUGCUGUGAGCAUGUUUAUCUUCUCUUUGAAUUAUAGGUCGUGAACUCGUGAUGAAACAUAUUUGAGUAUCCCCGCACCCGGAGUAAGUCCUGGGUGCAGUUUUGAUGUUGCUUAUUGUUUGAGAUUGCUACCCUAGUUCAGCAACUGAUUAUCAAUCUAGCCAAGAUUAUGUGUACGUGGUGCGCGCGCGAAAGAGUCUGUCUAGGCGUGUAGGAAGAUGGUGCACAUACAGAUAUACUGCUUGAAGAUGGAGAGAGAGAGAGAGAGGGAUGGUUGGGUGGGAGGAUUUUUUGUUUUUCUCUGAUCCUCUCUUAACAGCACCCUUUAAUUUGCGAGACGAAUCUUUUGAGCCUAGUUAGUCAAUGAUUAGACAAUACUUGUUAAAUACAAAUAAAAAUGUUAUAGUGCUCAUUUUGAAAAAAAUGGAACUAAACAAGGCCUUAUACUACGGCUGUGUUUAGUUGGUGUAGAAAAAAAAAAUUUGUGACACUGUAGCACUUUUGUUUGUUUGCGGUAAUUAUUGUCCAACCAUAGACUAGCUAGGCUUAAAAGAUCCAUCUCGUAAAUUUUGACUAAACUGUGCAAUUAGUUUUUAUUUUUGUCUAUAUUUAAUACUCCAUGCAUACGUCUAAAGAUUCGAUGUGACAGAGAAUUUUAAAUUUUUUUGCAUUUUUAGGGAGGAACUAAACAAGGGCUCAAUCAUCAGAAAUAGUAGUUGAUAUAAAUAAUUACAGAAUGUGUAUUGUUGCAGCAGGUUGAUACUGUUUGGUCAACAGUCCCUUGUGUACGUCUGUUUUGACCGUGACCGCACGCUGGGACCGCGUUCUUGGCUAGUGCAUGCCUGCAUUCAAGACCGCACGCUGGGACCUCUCAUCCCGGCGGCCAGCGGCCGCAGCUGCUCCGAGCACUACCAGCAGCGCCGUAGAAGAUGCCGCUGAGGUGCACCGCCACCACCUGCAGUAGAGGAAGGCCGCCUCGCACUAGCCCCGCUGCCGCGGCCUCACUCGCGCGCCGGUCGUGGUGGCCUGGGCGGACAACGCGCGUCUUCGCUGGACAACUGCGCCGUUUGCAGGCUUAUCCGUCCGAUCAGUAUCACACGGUGCAGAACGUCCCUUGGAGAAGAGGAAAGAAAAAUACCAGUAAAACCUCCUCGCCCCCACGGACCUGAGCCGCCUCCGCCGCCCUCGCGCCUCGCCGCCGGAGAAGCGCCGCUCGCUCAGGAGCCAUGGCACCGGAACCGGAGGAUGAGAUCAUGAACGAGAAGAACCCUCGCCCCUUGGACGAGGACGACAUCGCCCUCCUCAAAACAUAUGUGCGUGCCUCGACCCCCCGUUUGGAUCUCUCUGAUUUCGUGGAUCUAGGGUUCUUUGGUGAUUUGGACUUGGGGGCGGGGCUUCGGAUUGUGUCGGUUGUGGUUCGGGCUCGAGAUCGGUUUAGGGUACCAGAUUUAGGUCACCGUGUGUGAUUUGAGGGGGGAGAAAUUGCUGAUGUUUGCUGGAUGCUGUUGCAGGGGCUUGGGCCGUACUCGACCAGCAUAAAGAAGGUCGAGAAGGAGAUCAAGGAAAUGGCUAAGAAAAUCAAUGACCUUUGUGGUGAGUGAUAAUUUUGUUAUGACUUUUUUGGUGUGGCAUUGGAGAUGUAGGCCAGUUUGUUUCUGAGUUGGUCCUAAGGAUAAGUUUGAUCACUUUGUGGCGUUUUAUUCAUCUUCUAGCUUAGGCUGUUGGGUUAUUACACUGAGAAUUAUACUCUCUUGCCAACACUUGUUUCAGCUGGCUAUUAUUUACUUGCAGCUAAUAGGGAGUUUCAUUUAAUUGACGAUCUCAUCUCAUAUAUAGUUAUCCAAAUGGUUAAGAUGUAGUGAUGCAUUAUUUAGUGUGUUACACUUGAAACAUUCUAGUUUACUGAACAAGGGUAAAAAUCGAUGGGAACUGUUUCUUUAGUGAUGCCUCUGUAGUUCUGGCAUGGGGGUGCUGCUGCCUGCUAUAUACUACCCUGUACUCUAGAUAUUUGACAUGUUAUUUACUUAAUAGUGUAGUAAUGACAUGUUAUUAACUUAAUAAUGUAGUUAGAGGAAUUGGCUAUGAGACCACAUCUUAUGUCUGGUGUUUUCUAUUAUGUCUUAUUUCUGGCGUUUUCUAUUAUGUUCUAUGUUGUUCUGCAAUUCAGCAGCUUGUUUUAAUGUUAGCAAGCUCCUUUUGACCUGAGAUGUGCUCUUAUACUAAAUGCAGGGAUAAAGGAGUCUGAUACAGGGCUGGCUCCACCUAGCCAGUGGGAUUUGGUUUCAGAUAAACAGAUGAUGCAAGAAGAACAGCCAUUACAAGUAUAUUAACUGAACCUGAUAUUGUGUUACUUAGUAGUUUUUACAGAUUUGAAUUACGACCUACCAUGCAUGGUAGUUGGGCGCAAUAUCUUUUUGGUUUCAGUUUUACAUGUGCCAGCACACUAAUAACUUAUCUUUAUCUUCCUGCAGGUAGCAAGGUGUACAAAGAUUAUAAGCCCUAAUACGGAUGAUGCCAAAUAUGUUAUAAAUGUAAAACAAAUUGCAAAGGUAUGUCAUGCUUGCCAUUUUACUUCCAUCUCACGCCACCUAAAAACUGUACACCUUUUUCUUAUACCUUGUUUUGAAUCCUGCAGUUUGUGGUUGGACUGGGGGAUAAGGUCUCUCCAACUGAUAUCGAGGAAGGGAUGAGGGUCGGGUAUGCCAUCCUGUAUUUUUCAAAUUAAGUAUAUCAUAAGUCUUAAAGUGUCUUCUUCCUUUAGCAUAUCAUACUUGGUCAUUCAUUUCUACUACAGCACUAUGAUGCAUUUAUGUACUUGUGAUAAAUGUUUACAAAACUGGCCCAUCUUUCCAGUGGUUAUUUGUAAGAAAAUGAUAUGCCAUCAUCCAAGCUGUAUGUCUUAUGAGAAAAAUGCUUAUUGAUUUGAGUUAUUACUUAUUAAUAGGCUUAAAUAAGCAAUGGCCAUUCAUGUAGUGAUUGCCGUGUCCCUUGGAAAGAUGUUGUGAACUUUACAUGUUUGACAUAGAUGAGAAAGCAUUGCUUUGUUGAAUCAGCUGUCCUCCAUGACUAUGACUUGGUAGGUGCGUAGUGCUUUCUGAAAAGCAAUAUUGAAUCUAUUGUAUCUUUGUAUUUUAGCAAUCUUUGAAUACUGCUAUUGCGUUGGAAAUAAUUGUCAGCUGCAUAGAUUGGAUGCGAGUAUAAAACUCUGCCCUACGUAAUAUUAAGAGAUGAAAAGGUUGUUUAAUCUAAAAAUGAUCCUCUGCAUUUAUUUUAUUGCUGAAACAUGGACUCGCCUUUUCGUUAUUUCUCUAUGCGUUGUGCUAUUGUUCCUGAAUAAGUUGAAACUUUUUACCACCUAGUGAAAAAUUUGUGAUCUCACACCUGAUGCUUGUUGCAGUGUUGAUCGUAACAAGUACCAGAUUCAGAUCCCUCUUCCACCAAAAAUUGACCCAAGUGUUACCAUGAUGACUGUGGAGGAAAAGCCAGAUGUGACUUACAACGAUGUUGGUGGCUGCAAGGAGCAGAUUGAGAAGAUGCGUGAAGUAUGUGAUCCUUUUUCCUUGUUGUGAGCUGGCACAUACUUUGUCACAGUUAGUUAUGGACCUACUUUAUUUAAUCUUUCCUGUAUCAUUUUUGCAGGUUGUUGAACUUCCUAUGCUUCACCCAGAAAAGUUUGUCAAGCUUGGUAUUGACCCUCCUAAAGGCGUCCUUUGCUAUGGUCCACCUGGUACUGGCAAGACUCUUCUUGCAAGAGCUGUAGCAAAUCGGACUGAUGCUUGUUUCAUCCGUGUAAUUGGAAGUGAGCUAGUUCAGAAGUAUGUCGGAGAAGGUGCUCGGAUGGUCAGGGAACUGUUCCAGGUAUAUCUAGUGCUGUGAAUCCGUAAAUCCAGUUUUUUCUGUUGAACAUAUUUCUGAAACGAAUUCCUAUAUUGUAGAUGGCCCGCUCAAAGAAAGCAUGCAUUGUUUUCUUCGAUGAAGUUGAUGCUAUUGGUGGUGCUCGUUUUGAUGAUGGGGUCGGUGGUGACAAUGAGGUGCAGCGAACAAUGUUGGAAAUAGUAAACCAGCUUGAUGGGUUUGAUGCAAGAGGGAACAUCAAAGUCCUCAUGGCCACUAAUAGGUAUUUCAUUUUUUCAUUCUACUCUCAUGUGAUUACAGUUCCUUUUAGGUGAUUACCUCGUACUCUAUUCUGAAGAUAUUAUCUGAAGAAACAUAGGAUUUUGAAUAUGCAAAGUUAUGCAUAAAAACCUAUUGUUUAUAGGCUCCAUGCCUUAAACUGACAUGGCUGCAUGAAAAUUAUAGGCUCCAUGCCUUAAACUGACAUGGCUGCAUGAAAAUUAUAGGCUCCAUGCCUUAAACUGACAUGGCUGCAUGAAUAUGUAUUGUUUAUGAUGGCUAUAAAAAUUUUUGGCCAUAUCCCAGGCCUGAGAAGCUGACCACCUUCUCUGUUUUCUCCAGGCCUGAUACCUUGGAUCCUGCGCUUCUGCGUCCUGGUCGUCUGGACAGAAAGGUAGAAUUCGGGCUACCUGACCUGGAGGGCCGUACUCAAAUUUUCAAGAUCCAUACACGAACCAUGAACUGCGAGCGAGAUAUUCGUUUCGAGCUUCUGGCACGUCUCUGCCCCAACUCUACUGGUGAGUUGCUUUGUGGUUUCAUCAGAUUGUUUUCUGUUUGAUUUGAUUGUCUUACUUGAAGAUUUUACGAUAGAUGGUCAGGUUCUCACAUAGCCUUGCUUGUUACUCCAGGAGCGGAUAUAAGGAGCGUUUGCACAGAAGCUGGGAUGUAUGCCAUCCGUGCCCGCAGGAAAACGGUGACAGAAAAGGACUUCCUCGAUGCUGUCAAUAAGGUCAUCAAGGGCUACCAGAAAUUCAGUGCAACACCCAAGUAUAUGGUGUACAACUAGUCAGUGCGUCUUCAUGGGAUUUGUUGUUUUCAGAACUCUGGAUCUUUUUGAUGAUUGUAUCAUCAUGGGGAUUCUAUGCAAAGAUUGUUGUUUGUUUAGCAAAUUGGAUCCCCAGUGACUGUAACCUGUACCACAUGUUUUUAAGAUAAGGUUCUCCGCUCGGCGAUUCAUGUUGCUCGUGUUUAUGACUGAUGAUGUGCACAUGACGCAAAGUUCAUUCGGAGAACUCACGAAAUGUAAAUCUCAGGCAACGCAGGUGGUUGUUGCUCUGACGUCUCAUCUGGUUUAUGGUUUGCUGGUUGCUUUUGUGCAUCGUAAAGUCAGACCAUAUAAUGGAAGGGUGGUGCAUCCUGCGCCUCGAAAGAGCAAGCGAACUGAUCGGCAGUAUUUGAUAGGUGAUAGAAAAAGAGCAAGCGAACCGAUCGGCAUUUUUUGAUAGGUGAUAGGUCAUAUAUACAGAGGUUUCUUUGCCGGGCAUUAUUUGAUAGGUCAUAUAUACAGAGGUUUCUUUGACAUCUCUUACGACAGGUCAUAUACUAUGUACAAAAGAUAUAUGUACAUGUACCCAGCUAUAUCAUACAUUUCAGCCGUUUCACUGUAGGCGCUGCAACUUUCUUUGCACUUGUUGAACUGCUGGAAGCUGCUGCGGUUGCAAGUUUGCAACGCAGGCACGCAGCACAGCAACAGCAAGUUGAUCCAAACGGACAGUGACUUGCAACUUUCAAAUCUCCACUCUCUCAAUCAGCUUGAUGCCUGACGACUCCAAGAUCUCCAAUGCUUCACACACGCAAAUACACACAGAGUCAGCACAGUUGCACGUCAUGAUAAUUCCACAAGGAUUGGCAUGAAAACUAUGUAACACCUGGAAUGUAGAUCUCCGGUUGCAGAGGCCUGAUCACUCCUUUUGUCUGGACCUUAUUCUGUAGCAAUAGCUGCAAUAUAACAUGCGAGAGCAAAUGAACAUACAUUAAUUUCCAUUUUCCUUUUUGGCUUUUAUCCUUAUCAUUAUGCAAGUAUAAUUGUGGUUAGGUUUACUACCAGGGCCCCUAUUGCUGCAGGAAUACCAACGGUCAGGGCCAUGGCAGUGGUGGAUCUGCCAUUUUCAACCUUCCCAAACUCCAGUAGCGUCGCUUGGUGCUUUUCGGUGGGUUGCCCAUCUAGGUAUUCCACCUCGACUUCAUGGUGGAGCAGUACCAUGUCCUGAAUUUACAGGAGCUGCGUCUCAGCAAUGGUUAUCCGACGAAGGCUAUUGAUUCAAUUUAAUCCAUUUUGUGAACAUGAAAUAAAAACAGUAUGAAAAUGGUGGUAUACCAGAGUAAAGAAGUUUGGAUACACAUUAAUCAUUAAACUGGCAAUCUACUGCAAAUCUCCUAGGAAUCAAAAGUGCAUUUUUGUAUCUGAGUUUUGUCCCUGUCAAAUUUAUACAACUGAAGUGAUUAAGGCAACUACAAACAAUAAACUAGUAAGAGCAUCUCCAACCAUUAUGCAUUUGAAGUUAUGUAUUUUAGGCAAAUUGCAAACCCCCAAAUGAAAAUGGCAAGGCUAAAAUCGGGUGAUCUCCAACCGUUAUGCAAAAUGCUAAGUCCAUCAUCUUUUUUUCCGAAAAUUUUGUUUCGGGGCACUCCUUCCCGCGCGGCCAAUCGAUCCCGCGCCAAACAGCCCGCCGUCGUCUCCCGUUCACCAAUUCCCGCGCCAAACAGCCGCGCAGUACCGAUCGUGAGCUACGCAGUUCGUCGUUCCCAUUCGCAAUACCGAUUGCAGUACCGAUCUCCCGUUCCGUUGUGCGCUGCUUCGUCCAAACGCGCGCGCGAAGCUGGCGAAGGAGGACGCGCGAUGCUUCUCCUAUCGCGUGAAGUGGUAGCGGCGCGAAGAAAAACCGCGCGAAGGGAAGAAAAAAGCCCGCGAGGUGGAACCGAGAAUCUCGUGAUCUCUAUUUGCAUAGCCGGACUCCUUUGGCAUAUAUGCCAAGUUUCCCCCUCCAAAUGCAUAGCUAUGUAAAAUGCAAAGUCCAAAUGCAUAACGAUUGGAGGGGUUUUUUUUGGAGCUUUAUGCAUUUUGGUAAAUGCCAAGCCCAUUUGCAUAAUGGUUGGAGUUGCUCUAAGAUUGAGAUCAUUGCCUCUUUUCUGUUACAUUCCUGACUUCUUUUUAUGACAAUAUAAAUAUAAGGUUAAAUAUCUUAUGAUUUUAUAAAGAAAGAUCUGUACUACAGAUAUUUUAACAGCUACAUGCAACACAUGAAACAUAUGACAGGUGGUAAGAUAGUAUUAAGCCUCACUUGCUCAUUGUGGCCAUAGGCCAUCCUCUGUUCCAUUCGUUGGCAAAUCACAUCAAAUGCACUUGAAUAGCCCUUAGGAAUUUGAGUCUCUUCAUGUAGUCCCAAGAACCUGCUCGUGUAUUUUGUCAGUUCGAAAAUAAAAUACAACUACAGCAUUCAUGCUUCCUGUUUCUAUUAUCCCUAAAUCAUUUUUUUCCUGGGGAUUCUUUAACAUAUUAACUUGAUGGCAUUAUUUAUAUUGCACUACAACAGUUAAAAAAAAGAUGUGAAUUUUGUAGUACAGGAUCAGGAUUAACUUGAUGGUUUUGACUGUCUUAGCAGCUAUUUCCUUAUCUUUGCAACACCUGAGCUUCGACAGUCUGGCAAUCAUUUCAUCGUCAUAUCCACCAGAGGCUUCAAUAUCAAAGUCUGUGUUAGUCGUUGUGAUAUUAUUAAGUAGUUCAUCAAGGAAACCCUUAUAUGUUGGGCGAUUAGUAUCUUGCAGCAGUGGAUGAUUUGCAGCAUCAAAGAAACCAAUUUUCGACAGGGUUGCCAUUAUCUCACUAAAACCUGCACAUGUGCAGCAAAAUGUGCAUCAAAGAAACCAAUUUUCGACAGGGUUGCCAUUAUUCUUUUUUUUUCGCCUUCUAUUGUCUCUUUUAUAUUUGGUAUUUUCCCCCCAUUUUCUCAAUUUCUACUAUUUUCAUAUGGCAGGUUGACUAUUUCGUUGACUGUCACUAUUCCAUGCCGGAUGACCGGCUAUGGUUGAUUGGUGGCACAGCUGCAGGGACGUUAGGUUACUUUCCUGUAAGAAAUGAUCACGCAGGAGCAAUAGGUUCAGCCGAAGCAAUCCUUGAAGGAGGCCAUACAGGAGUUGUUAGGUCCGUGUACCCCUCUGCAGGAAUCCAUGAGAGCCUUGGGCAAAACAGGGGCAUCUUUGGAUGGACAGGAGGUGAAGAUGGUCGUUUGUGCUGCUGGCGCUCUGAUGAAAUCGCAGAGAUAAACAAAUCUUGGAUCUCUAGUUCACUAGUGUGCAAGCAGCAAAAGAAAACCAAGAAUCGGCAUCAGCCCUACUAGCCGCUAUGGAUACCGUUUGUAACGUUUGACACUGACAAGGGAAAGCCUGGCCUGUAUGUGCUGUGAGCAUGUUUAUCUUCUCUUUGAAUUAUAGGUCGUGAACUCGUGAUGAAAACAUAUUUGAGUAUCCCCGCACCCGGAGUAAGUCGUGGGUGCAGUUUUGAUGUUGCUUAUUGUUUGAGAUUGCUACCCUAGUUCAGCAACUGAUUAUCAAUCUAGCCAAG